GAUGAGUAGGGCGGGACACGUGGUAUCCUGUCUGAAUAUGGGGGGACCAUCCUCCAAGGCUAAAUACUCCUGACUGACCGAUAGUGAACCAGUACCGUGAGGGAAAGGCGAAAAGAACCCCGGCGAGGGGAGUGAAAAAGAACCUGAAACCGUGUACGUACAAGCAGUGGGAGCACCCUUUGGGUGUGACUGCGUACCUUUUGUAUAAUGGGUCAGCGACUUAUAUUCUGUAGCAAGGUUAACCGAAUAGGGGAGCCGGAGGGAAACCGAGUCUUAACCGGGCGUUAAGUUGCAGGGUAUAGACCCGAAACCCGGUGAUCUAGCCAUGGGCAGGUUGAAGGUUGGGUAACACUAACUGGAGGACCGAACCGACUAAUGUUGAAAAAUUAGCGGAUGACCUGUGGCUGGGGGUGAAAGGCCAAUCAAACCGGGAGAUAGCUGGUUCUCCCCGAAAGCUAUUUAGGUAGCGCCUCGUGAAUUCAUCUCCGGGGGUAGAGCACUGUUUCGGCUAGGGGGCCAUCCCGGCUUACCAACCCGAUGCAAACUGCGAAUACCGGAGAAUGUUAUCACGGGAGACACACGGCGGGUGCUAACGUCCGUCGUGAAGAGGGAAACAACCCAGACCGCCAGCUAAGGUCCCAAAGUCAUGGUUAAGUGGGAAACGAUGUGGGAAGGCCCAGACAGCCAGGAUGUUGGCUUAGAAGCAGCCAUCAUUUAAAGAAAGCGUAAUAGCUCACUGGUCGAGUCGGCCUGCGCGGAAGAUGUAACGGGGCUAAACCAUGCACCGAAGCUGCGGCAGCGAACGUAUCACUUAAAGCGAUUCAGCGGGUUACGAUUGACGGAGCGAAGCGACGUCAAAGCGUAUACAAAGUCGAGUCGGUUUAAGGAUACGUUCGUUGGGUAGGGGAGCGUUCUGUAAGCCUGUGAAGGUGGCCUGUGAGGGUUGCUGGAGGUAUCAGAAGUGCGAAUGCUGACAUAAGUAACGAUAAAGCGGGUGAAAAGCCCGCUCGCCGGAAGACCAAGGGUUCCUGUCCAACGUUAAUCGGGGCAGGGUGAGUCGACCCCUAAGGCGAGGCCGAAAGGCGUAGUCGAUGGGAAACG
rnacentral:rRNA from 1 species